rnacentral:rRNA from 1 species
UGACAGUACUCCUACGGGGAGGCAGCAGUGGGGGAAUAUUGCACAAUGGGCGCAAGCCUGAUGCAGCCAUGCCGCGUGUGUGAAGAAGGCCUUCGGGUUGUAAAGCACUUUCAGUCGUGAGGAAGGUAGUGUAGUUAAUAGCUGCAUUAUUUGACGUUUAGCGACAGAAGAAGCACCGGCUAACUCCGUGCCAGCAGCCGCGGUAAUACGGAGGGUGCGAGCGUUAAUCGGAAUUACUGGGCGUAAAGCGCAUGCAGGUGGUUUGUUUAAGUUCAGAUGUGAAAGCCCGGGGCGUCAACCUCGGAAUAGCAUUUGAAACUGGCAGACUAGAGUACUGUAGAGGGGGGUAGGAAUUUCAGGUGUAGCGGUGAAAUGCGUAGAGAUCUGAAGGAAUACCGGUGGCGAAGGCGGCCCCCCUCGGACAGAUACUGACACUCAGAUGCGAAAGCGUGGGGAGCAAACAGGAUUAGAUACCCUGGUAG